AAUCGUCCAGGUUCGUUCCCCGAAAGACACUCCAAGAUGAUCUCUGCUGUUGCCCUUCUUUGCCUCGUUGCUGGCGCUAUCGCCAUACCAGUCAACACUGGCUACUAUCCUAAAACCCAAGGAUACGGAGGACAUGGAAUUAAUGGCGGCAUCAUCGGAAAACAACAACGGAUUUGAAAGCAGCGUCUUAGGAUUUAACAGUGGAAACUCCGCCGCUGCUGCUGCUUCUGCCGCCGGUGGUUUGAAUUCCGCUGCCGCCGCCGCCGCAGCCGCUUCCGGAGCUUCAAGUUUCAACAAUGGUUUCGGAUUCAACGGAGGAUUCGAUGGGGGAAACUCUGCUGCUGCUGCUGCUGCUUCUGCCUCCAGUGGUUUGAAUUCCGCUGCUGCCGCCGCCGCAGCCGCUUCCGGAGCUUCAGGUUUCAACAAUGGUUUCGGAUUCAAUGGAGGAUUCGAUGGGGGAAACUCUGCUGCUGCUGCCGCCGCUGCCGCAAGUGGAAUGAAUUCUGCUGCUGCCGCCGCCGCUGCUGCAUCCUCUGCACAGAGAAAUUCUUUUAUUGGAUACCCAGGACAGAUUGGAUCUAACUACGGUCCAUUUGUUCACCAAGGACCAUCUGUACAAUAUUUCCCAUCUGUUCAACCAAUCAAUGGAUUUGGAGGUUCUGCUGCCGCUGCCGCCGCUGCUGGUCAAAAUGCUGCCGCUGCUGCUGCCGCUGCAGCUGGACAAAAUGCUGCCGCUGCUGCUGCUUCCGCUGCUGGUAGAAACGCCGCCGCUGCUGCUGCUGCUGCCUCUGCAUCUGGUGCCAACUUUGGACCUCAGAUUGGACUUGGAGGUCCCCAGUUUGCCGGUCAGAUUGGAGGUCAAUUUGGUGGUCAAUUUGUUCAACCAGCUUUCUACUACCCCAACGUUGUUGGACAGAACUCUGGAGCUGCCGCCGCCGCUGCUGCCGCUGCCUCUAACAACGCCGCUGCCGCCGCCGCCGCUGCCUCUGCCUCUGGCGCCAAUGGAUUCAUUAAUGGUGGUCUCAUCGGAGGGGGGUCAUCUGGAAUAAUUGGAUCUCAGAUUGUACCAGGAAGAAAGGUUUAUUAAAUAUAGGAACAUUCUAGACUUGGCAGGGAUAUUUAUUCGCAAGCAACUGUGGUGAAAGAACGUAUUUUGUUUUAAUUUAUUGUUGUUGUUUGAAUAAAUUAUUUAUACAAU
rnacentral:misc_RNA from 1 species